rnacentral:rRNA from 1 species
CUAUACUGCAAGUCGAGCGGACAGAAGGGAGCUUGCUCCCGGAUGUUAGCGGCGGACGGGUGAGUAACACGUGGGUAACCUGCCUGUAAGACUGGGAUAACUCCGGGAAACCGGAGCUAAUACCGGAUAGUUCCUUGAACCGCAUGGUUCAAGGAUGAAAGACGGUUUCGGCUGUCACUUACAGAUGGACCCGCGGCGCAUUAGCUAGUUGGUGAGGUAACGGCUCACCAAGGCGACGAUGCGUAGCCGACCUGAGAGGGUGAUCGGCCACACUGGGACUGAGACACGGCCCAGACUCCUACGGGAGGCAGCAGUAGGGAAUCUUCCGCAAUGGACGAAAGUCUGACGGAGCAACGCCGCGUGAGUGAUGAAGGUUUUCGGAUCGUAAAGCUCUGUUGUUAGGGAAGAACAAGUGCAAGAGUAACUGCUUGCACCUUGACGGUACCUAACCAGAAAGCCACGGCUAACUACGUGCCAGCAGCCGCGGUAAUACGUAGGUGGCAAGCGUUGUCCGGAAUUAUUGGGCGUAAAGGGCUCGCAGGCGGUUUCUUAAGUCUGAUGUGAAAGCCCCCGGCUCAACCGGGGAGGGUCAUUGGAAACUGGGAAACUUGAGUGCAGAAGAGGAGAGUGGAAUUCCACGUGUAGCGGUGAAAUGCGUAGAGAUGUGGAGGAACACCAGUGGCGAAGGCGACUCUCUGGUCUGUAACUGACGCUGAGGAGCGAAAGCGUGGGGAGCGAACAGGAUUAGAUACCCUGGUAGUCCACGCCGUAAACGAUGAGUGCUAAGUGUUAGGGGGUUUCCGCCCCUUAGUGCUGCAGCUAACGCAUUAAGCACUCCGCCUGGGGAGUACGGUCGCAAGACUGAAACUCAAAGGAAUUGACGGGGGCCCGCACAAGCGGUGGAGCAUGUGGUUUAAUUCGAAGCAACGCGAAGAACCUUACCAGGUCUUGACAUCCUCUGACAACCCUAGAGAUAGGGCUUUCCCUUCGGGGACAGAGUGACAGGUGGUGCAUGGUUGUCGUCAGCUCGUGUCGUGAGAUGUUGGGUUAAGUCCCGCAACGAGCGCAACCNUUGAUCUUAGUUGCCAGCAUUCAGUUGGGCACUCUAAGGUGACUGCCGGUGACAAACC